CAAAUCAUUGAACAUGGAGAAUUCAAAGCUGAUGCCUACCUAGAGCAUUCACCUCUACAUUCCAGUAUCUUUGAUACAGGAUGGGCCUCUGAACACUAUCAAAAGAGAAGCAUAAACACAAAGCCAACCUCAAACCCUUUGUCUACAAUGAUAUCUGCCUUCAAGAUGUGCUAGGACAAUGGUGGCACAAAGUUUGUGAGAGUAACCGACCAAUAUCUGAUUUGAUUUAAAGCCUACUCCAUGAGAUGGACCCACACCUGACACUGCUUGGAUGGCCAAGAACUCAAGACUAGAUAUUCCAAGGACCUAGGGUAAAACCAAGUAAUAUUGGUCAAAAAAAAAAAACAGGCAAAAUAAGUAGUGAUAAAAUAAUUCCUAAUGCCAUCAUGCUAUAUUCAUAUGCUUGUGCAGCCACCAUCAAAAAAGUUCCCUCCUGCAGCAGAUGGGAGCAAAUAAGGGAUCCACAGCUUUGACAUUACACAGGGAGUGAGAGAUCUUAGAAUGCUCAGCCUAUCUAUGAUGUCAUCUUCAAGUCAUUCCUCUCAGAACGCAGGGAAUCCAGAAGAAGAGGAGGUUGAAAGAUUGUAAGAGCCAAAGGUGAUGGAGGACAUCAAGAAAACAAGGCCCUCUAAAUCAGCAUGAGCAAAGAUUGUAUGAACUCACAGAGGGGCUGAAGCAGCAAGUACAAGGCCUACACAGCACCAUGUCUGCCUGCAUGCUGCCAUGCUCUUUACCAUGAUGACAAUCGACUGAACUUCUGAAACUAGAUCAUACGAGGGGCUGAUCAUUGAACCUGAAUAAUAAUCAAUUUGAAAUGUAACAACUUAGGAAAGCAAUGAAUGGAGCAGAAGACAUUAUUUAUGCAACAUCUCUGGACAGCAGGAAGACAGACUCCUCAGCACCGCACGUUGAGAACUGAGGGUUUUACUGAAUUGAAAUGCACACAUCUCUGUUAUUCAAAACUGUAUUUGGUUACAUAAAUACGAUCACCUAUGCUUAAGAUUUGAACCAUCCCACUCGUUUACGUAAAUCACCCCAUUAAACAACAUAAGCUGACUAACAAAACUGUUAACUUCCCUCAUUAAAUUGAAAUCUCAGACUUUUAAUAAACAAUUUGAGUCAAGUCUUUCUUAGAGGUAAA